rnacentral:rRNA from 1 species
AACAAACGCUGGCGGCGUGCCUAAUACAUGCAAGUCGAACGGGGAAGCCUUCGGGCGAGUACUAGUGGCGCACGGGUGAGUAACACGUGGGUAAUCUACCUUAAAGUGGGGAAUAACCAGUCGAAAGACUGGCUAAUACCGCAUAAGGCCACAGGAUCUGCGGAUCUAGGGGGUUAAAGGAGCAAAUUCGCUUUUAAGAUGAGCCCGCGCGGGAUUAGCUAGUUGGUGAGGUAACGGCUCACCAAGGCUCUGAUCUCUAGCUGGUCUGAGAGGAUGAUCAGCCACACUGGAACUGAGACACGGUCCAGACUCCUACGGGAGGCAGCAGUAGGGAAUAUUGCGCAAUGGGGGGAAACCCUGACGCAGCGACGCCGCGUGAGUGAUGAAGGACUUCGGUUCGUAAAGCUCUGUCGCAGGGGAAUAAUACU